rnacentral:rRNA from 1 species
UACAGAGGUGGCAAGCGUUGUUCGGAAUUACUGGGCGUAAAGGGCUCGUAGGCGGCCAACUAAGUCGGACGUGAAAUCCCCAGGCUCAACCUGGGAACUGCGUCCGAUACUGGAUGGCUUGAAUCCGGGAGAGGGAUGCAGAAUUCCAGGUGUAGCGGUGAAAUGCGUAGAUAUCUGGAAGAACACCCGUGGCGAAGGCGGCUUCCUGGAACGACACUGACGCUGAGACGCGAAAGCCAGGGGAGCAAACGGG